UUUGGUCCAGCGGUAGCGCAGUACAUUUUUGUACGCGCUACCCAGGUUCGAAUCCCGGUGUUGCC
rnacentral:tRNA from 1 species